rnacentral:rRNA from 1 species
UACGUAGGGGGCAAGCGUUGUCCGGAAUCAUUGGGCGUAAAGAGCGCGUAGGCGGCCCUGUAAGUCCGCUGUGAAAGUCAAGGGCUCAACCCUUGGAUGCCGGUGGAUACUGCAGGGCUAGAGUCCGGAAGAGGCGAGUGGAAUUCCUGGUGUAGAGGUGAAAUGCGCAGAUAUCAGGAGGAACACCGAUGGCGAAGGCAGCUCGCUGGGACGGUACUGACGCUGAGGCGCGAAAGCUAGGGGAGCAAACAGG